rnacentral:rRNA from 1 species
GACAAACGCUGGCGGCGUGCUUAACACAUGCAAGUCGAACGAAGUGGCGAACGGGUGAGUAACGCGUAAUCAACCUGCCCUUCAGAGGGUGACAACAGUUGGAAACGACUGCUAAUACCGCAUACUGAAGGAGGGGAUUGCGUCUGAUUAGCUAGUUGGAGGGGUAACGGCCCACCCAGGCGAUGAUCAGUCGCCGGUUGGAGAUGAUGAACGGCCACAUUGGGACUGAGAAACGGCCCAGACUCCUACGGGAGGCAGCAGUGGGGAAGCGUCCGCAAUGGACGAAAGUCUGACGGAGCAACGCCGCGUGAGUGAUGACGGACUUCGGGUUGUAAAGCUCUGUUAAUCGGGACGCGGUACCGGAAUAGAAAGCCACGGCUAACUACGUGCCAGCCGCCGCGGUAAUAC